GCUCAAUGAAAUUAAUUAAAUAGCCGCAGUAAAUUAACUGUGCUAAGGUAGCAUAAUAAUUAGUUUUUUAAUUAAAAACUAGAAUGAAAGAGAAAAUGAAAAAUUAACUUUUUAAUUAUAAUAAAUAAAUAUAAAUUAAUUUAUAAGUUAAAAAUCUUAUAUAAAAUAAAAAGACAAGAAGACCCUUUAGAAUUUUAUAAAUAAAAAAAUUUAAUAAUUAUAAAUUUGAAUAUUUAUUAAGUUGGGGAGACUAUGAAAUAUUAAAAACUUUCACUUUUUUAAAACAAAAAUAAAUGAAUCUAUAAAUAUCCAGUUAACAGCCGAAUAAAAAACAAAUUACCUAAGGGAUAACAGCGUAAAAUUUCUAAAAAGAUCAAAUUUACAGAAUAAAUUACGACCUCGAUGUUGGAUUAAGAAAAAAUUAUAAAGAAGAAUUUAUAAAAAUUAGGUCUGUUCGACCUUUAAUCUCUU
rnacentral:rRNA from 1 species